GACGAACGCUGGCGGCGUGCUUAACACAUGCAAGUCGUACGGUAAGGCCCUUUCGGGGGUACUCGAGUGGUGAACGGGUGCGUAACACGUGAGUAACCUUCCCACAACUUUGGGACAACGCUAGGAAACUGGUGCUAAUACUGGUUAUGUGCCCCUGCUGCAUGGUGGGGGUUGGAUAGCUCCGGCGGUUGUGGAUGGACUCGCGGCCUAUCAGCUUGUUGGUGGGGUAGUGGCCUACCAAGGCGGCGGCGGGUAGCCGGCCUGCGGGGGUGACCGGCCACAUUGGGACUGAGGGACGGCCGAGAUUGCGAAGGGAGGCAGAAGGGGGGAAGAUUGAACGAGGGGCGCCAGCCUGGUGCAGCAGCGCCGCGUGCGGGAUGACGGCCUUAGGGGUGUAAACCGCUUUCAGAAGGAACGAAGCUUUUUGUGACGGUACCUGCAGAAAAAGCACCGGCUAACUACGUG
rnacentral:rRNA from 1 species